rnacentral:ncRNA from 1 species
AGUUUGAUUUAUUCUUUUAAAUUAAUUAUUUAUAUCUAUUAUAUGUUUUUUAUUUAAUUUAAUUAUUUUUCAGUAAUAAAUUUUUUUAAAUAUUGUUAUUAAUAUUAAGGUAUAUAUUUAUUUUAGAUUAAUAUUGUGCCAGCAUUCGCGGUUAUACAAUUUAAAAUAAUUAAUUUUUUUUUAGUUUUAAUUUUUAUAAUUAUGAAUUUAGGUUUAUUUUAUUUAGGUGAAAUUUUUAUAAUUUUUGUCAUUCUGUAUUAAUUUUUAAUAAAUUAUUUUUAUAAAUUAGGAUUAGAUACCCUAUUAUUAAUUAAUUUAUUUUUAUGACUAUAACAUUAAUAGUUAUUUUCUAUUAAAUUUGAAUAAUUUGGCGGUAAUUUCUUUUUAGGGGAACCUGUUCUUUAAUUGAUAAACCACGAUAGUUUAAACUUAAAUUUUAUUUGUAUAUCUCUAUAUUUUGGAUUAUUUUAUAAAAAAUUAUUUUUUACUUUAAUAGAUUUAUAUUAGGUCAAGGUGCAGUUUUAUUUAAGUUAGUGUGGGUUACUUUAAUUUUAAAUAAAUUAGGAUAUUUUUAAUAAUAACAGUUGAAAUAGGAUUUGACAGUAAUUUUGAAUAAUUAUUCAUUUUGAAUUAUAUAAAAAAUUAUGCACAUAUUGCCCGUCACUCUCAUUUUAAUUGGGAUAAGUCGUAACAAAGUAAUUGUACUGGAAAGUGUAGUUAGAAUU